ensembl:snoRNA
GAUGCCGGACCUGCCGGCACCACAGAUGCGGCUGCUCUGCUGCACCUGCGAAGUGGAGGCAAAGAGGAAGUGGCUACUUCUAGGCUCAGUGCUCAGUAUAGUGAGCGCUAAGAAUGGUUUAUAGCCUAUCACGC